GACGAACGCUGGCGGCGCGCCUAACACAUGCAAGUCGAACGGAGCUGCGAGAAGCUUGCUUUUCUUAGCUUAGUGGCGAACGGGUGAGUAACGCGUGAGUAACCUGCCCUGGAGUGGGGGACAACAGUUGGAAACGACUGCUAAUACCGCAUAAGCCCACGAUCCGGCAUCGGAUUGAGGGAAAAGGAUUUAUUCGCUUCAGGAUGGACUCUCGUCCAAUUAGCUAGUUGGUGAGGUAACGGCCCACCAAGGCGACGAUUGGUAGCCGGACUGAGAGGUUGAACGGCCACACUGGGACUGAGACACGGCCCAGACUCCUACGGGAUGGAGCAGUGGGGGAUAUUGCACAAUGGGGGAAACCCUGAUGCAGCGACGCCGCGUGGAGGAAGAAGGUUUUCGGAUUGUAAACUCCUGUCGUUAGGGACGAUAAUGACGGUACCUAACAAGAAAGCACCGGCUAACUACGUG
rnacentral:rRNA from 1 species